rnacentral:rRNA from 1 species
AUGGCGGUUACUGCAGGCAACAGAGUUUCCUAUGGGUGUUCCUUUCCAAAACACACAUGUUCUACAUGGAGGCUCAACCUAGGGUAUAUGUCGUACAGCUGGCUAAGUAUUCUGAAAGGUUUAAAGCUUCUCAAGACCGGCAUUAGUUGGACGGUUGGAGAUGGACAAGAAACAAUAUAUUGUGUUGAAAAUCGAAUUUUGCAUGCAUUGGAUCCUUCUAAACUUUCAGAAUAUAUAUAUGAAGGGUAUAUCAUGGACGCAAGUUACAUACAGUUUUCUUAUGCAAGAACAUAUGCAGAAAUUACAGACGUGGAGCUCAUCUCAAACGUAUGCACCACAAGUUGUAUUUGA